rnacentral:rRNA from 1 species
CAACAGGGAUUGCCUCAGUAACGGCGAGUGAAGCGGCAACAGCUCAAAUUUGAAAUCUGGCGGCCUCUGGGCCGUCCGAGUUGUAAUUUGAAGAGGAUGCUUUUGGCGAGGCGCCUUCCGAGUGCCCUGGAACGGGACGCCACAGAGGGUGAGAGCCCCGUAUGGUUGGACGCCGAGCCUCUGUAAAGCUCCUUCGACGAGUCGAGUAGUUUGGGAAUGCUGCUCAAAAUGGGAGGUAAACCCCUUCUAAAGCUAAAUACUGGCCAGAGACCGAUAGCGCACAAGUAGAGUGAUCGAAAGAUGAAAAGCACUUUGAAAAGAGAGUUAAAUAGCACGUGAAAUUGUUGAAAGGGAAGCGCUUGCGACCAGACUUGUGCCCGUCGAAUCAGCCGCCGCUCGCCGGCGGCGCACUUCGGCGGGCUCAGGCCAGCAUCAGUUCGCUGCAGGGGGAGAAAGGCGGCGGGAAUGUGGCUCUUCGGAGUGUUAUAGCCCGCCGCGCAAUACCCCUCGGCGGACUGAGGACCGCGCAUCUGCAAGGAUGCUGGCGUAAUGGUCGUCAGCGACCCGUCUUGAAACACGGACCAAGGAGUCGUCCUAAUAUGCGAGUGUUCGGGUGUAAAACCCCUGCGCGUAAUGAAAGUGAACGGAGGUGAGAGCUUCGGCGCAUCAUCGACCGAUCCUGAUGUUCUCGGAUGGAUUUGAGUAAGAGCAUAUUGGGCCGGACCCGAAAGAAGGUGAACUAUGCCUGUAUAGGGUAAAGCCAGAGGAAACUCUGGUGGAGGCUCGCAGCGGUUCUGACGUGCAAAUCGAUCGUCAAAUAUGGGCAUGGGGGCGAAAGACUAA